rnacentral:rRNA from 1 species
AGUGAACGCUGGCGGUAGGCCUAACACAUGCAAGUCGAACGGCAGCACAGUAAGAGCUUGCCCUUACGGGUGGAGAGUGGCGGACGGGUGAGGAAUACAUCGGACUCUACUUUUUCGUGGGGGAUACCGUAGGGAAACUUACGCUAAUACCGCAUACGACCUACGGGUGAAAGCCUGGGAUCUUCGAACCUUGCGCGAUUGAAUGAGCCGAUGUCGGAUUAGCUAGUUUGCGGGGUAAAGGCCCACCUAAGCGACGAUCCGUAGCUGAUCUGAGAGGAGGGUCAGACAAACUAGAACUGAAACACGGUCCAGACUCCAACGGGAGGCGACAGUGGAGAAUAGUAGACAAGGGGAGGAAGGCUGAUCCAGCCAUACCGCGUGGGUGGAGAAAGCCUGCGGGUUGGAGAGGUCAUCUGUUGUGAAAGAAAAGCAGCAGUUUAUAGCCUUGCUGUGCUGACGGUACCCAAAGAAUAAGCACCGGCUAACUUCGUG